UGCCGAUUAAAUGGAGCAAGCCCAAAGAUUGGGAAGAAGGAGAGGGGGUCUGAACAGAGUGAUGUGAGAGGCUCAGUAUACCUGGGCACUUCUGGCUAUAGCUGGCAUGCUGUUUCUUAGAAUUGGUGCUCAAAGCAUAGACAACAGGACCCUGAAUCCCCAGCCCAAUCCCAGCUCAGAAAUACCCACAGACAUCCUGGCAACGGCUCUGUUGUCAGUUCUUACCCGAUGCUUUCUAAAGCUGAAGUCGAGGAGUGGCAUACAUUGCUUCAGAAAUGCCUCCACAAAGCGACGGCCAUACUGAAGGGAGAGACAGCGGUGCUGAACUACAGCUGAGGACUUUUACUGAAAAGCUCCCAGACAAAGCAGCAUAGGCCACCUAGCCCAAGGGUUUAUAUUAUCACUGUGUGCAUUCAAAUAAAUUGGAAGUGGUCCAGAAAGUUAAUUUGGUGGCUCUAACUAAAGUUGAAAAGCAAACAGACCUGCUACUUACAUAAAUAAGCUCCAGAAUUAGGCAGAGUCAGAAAUCUGGACAGACAACGGCCAGAGCCCUUGUCCAGCUUAGAGAACACAGUGCCUCACCUGCACUGAAGCCUCUCAGCACGACUCAGUCUCAAAGGGAGACAUGAGAGGACCAAGGCAACACAUGGCCAUCUCCAACCAAAUUGCUCCUCCAAGCCACUCAUCUCCUAAGCUGUACAGGAUAGAGUGAGGGGAAGCGACCAAGGACAGUACCAUACGCUGGAGGGAGACACCAGGAGGACAGAAGAAGCAUAACUCUUUAGUUUUACCAUCAAAUCCAGGGCCAGAUAGGAAAUCCCCAUAGGAGAAGGGAAGGGCUCUGCAAUUGUCAGAAUAUCAAUCUGACAUUCAUAGACCAUUCCAAGGUUUUUCCAUUUGUCUCGUGGUGCAAAGGAUUGAACCUGGGAAAUCCCACACACUAAGCAGGUUCCCAUCCUGGAGCAAUGCCCAGCCCUGGCCCUGUCCCAAGGGAAACCAUCCAUCACUUGUCCUCUGCUGCCUGGAAACCUGCUAGGGAGUGCAGGGGUGACUGCUGCUAUUUCUCCUUUGUCUGUGGUAGGGUCUACCCUAGCAGCCCUAGCUGACUGUGUAGACCAGGCUGGCCUCAAGCUCACAGAUCCACUUGCUUCUGACUCUAAAGGUAUGCAUCACCAUGGGCUUCAUGAACAUUAUUCUUAAACUCAGCUGCUCUGUAGCAUUCAACCCAGUCCUAAUAUUCUGACCAAAAAUUCUACAAAGCAUGAGAAAACUGCCUCCAACUACUGUAGAAAAUGCUAGCCACCGUCUUCCUUACCUAUUAGCAUAGCCUCUGGCACAUAAACGAGGUAAAAAGCAAUUCCAUCUAGCUGAGGCCCCUCGGAAAUGACCCACAGGAAGAAAACACCUCAAACAAAGCCUAGGAAAUCUUUUACCUUUAAACACACAUGCAGAACAGGAUAACUGUCAAAUACCUGGUCAGGAGAAAGACAAGAAACCAGACUUAAGGCGGUUCCUUUGAGUACCACCUCCGCCCCACUGCACACAGCAUGGCUGUGAGGGACACAGAAGACUGUAAUAUGAAGAAGGUACACAACAGAGCAGCAGAACGCAGCAGAACAUCAGUUACAGAAGAAGGAAGCUCGUAACCCAAAUCCAAGACAAGCCAGAAAGGAGCACAGGGGAGGAAGAAAUUGAUUCCAGCUAGGGAUGUGGAGAAGACAGCAUGGCUAGAGGACUGCCUCUCUGAUCUGAAACCUUAGGAGAGACUGAGAUGGAGAGGGGAGGGAGUGACAGCUCCCUGACAGCAGCUUAAGCAUAACCCAGCAGCAGAGAACACAGAGCCUCGGGGACAAUGAUGACAGGCGGGGAUGGAAGUGCUCAGACCAGAGGAUCCGAGGUACUGCAGACUUCUCCAGAAGGGCCAUCAGAAGUCUGAGAAGGUAGAGACCACACUGGAAACUGGGAACACUAUGGUGGAAGUUCUGCAAGUAACUGAAGCUCUG
rnacentral:lncRNA from 1 species